rnacentral:rRNA from 1 species
UACGAAGGGGGCUAGCGUUGUUCGGAAUUACUGGGCGUAAAGCGCGCGUAGGCGGUGAUUUUUGUCAGAGGUGAAAGCCUGGGGCUCAACUCCAGAAUUGCCUUUGAAACGGGAUCGCUUGAGUCCGAGAGAGGAUGGCGGAAUUCCUAGUGUAGAGGUGAAAUUCGUAGAUAUUAGGAAGAACACCGGUGGCGAAGGCGGCCAUCUGGCUCGGUACUGACGCUCAGGCGCGAAAGCGUGGGGAGCAAACAGG